ACGGUCCUAAGGUAGCGAAAUUCCUUGUCGGGUAAGUUCCGACCCGCACGAAAGGUGUAACGACUUGGGCACUGUCUCAACGAGGGACCCGGUGAAAUUGAAAUACCUGUGAAGAUGCAGGUUACCCGCGACUGGACAGAAAGACCCCAUGGAGCUUCACUGCAGCUUGAGAUUGAAUCCCGGUGACAUAUGCACAGGAUAGGUGGGAGGCUAAGAAGUAAUGCCUUUGGGUGUUACAGAGCCGAUGUUGGGAUACCACCCUUAUGUUGCUGAGAUUCUAACACGGAGACUAACAACCUCGUGGACCAUCUCAGGCAGGCGGUUUGACUGGGGCGGUCGCCUCCUAAAAUGUAACGGAGGCGCCCAAAGGUUCCCUCAGGCCGGACAGAAACCGGCCGAAGAGUGCAAAGGCAGAAGGGAGCUUGACUGCGAGACAGACAAGUCGAGCAGAGACGAAAGUCGGGCUUAGUGAUCCGGUGGUACUGAGUGGAAAGGCCAUCGCUCAACGGAUAAAAGCUACCCUGGGGAUAACAGGCUAAUCUCUCCCAAGAGUUCAUAUCGACGGGGAGGUUUGGCACCUCGAUGUCGGCUCAUCACAUCCUGGAGCUGGAGUAGGUUCCAAGGGUUGGGCUGUUCGCCCAUUAAAGUGGUACGCGAGCUGGGUUCAAAACGUCGUGAGACAGUUUGGUUCAUAUCCAUCGCGGGCGCAAGAAGUUUGAGGGAGGCUGCUCCUAGUACGAGAGGACCGGAGUGGACGGAUCAACGGUGUACCAGUUGUCACGCCAGUGGCACGGCUGGAAAGCCGCAUCCGGAAAGGAUAAACGCUGAAAGCAUCUAAGCGUGAAGCCCGUCCCGAGAUGAGACUUCUCAUCAGCAAUGAGUAAGACCCCUUAAAGACGAUGAGGUUGAUAGGCUGUGAGUGGAAGUGGCGCAAGUCAUGGAGCGACGCAGUACUAAUAGGUCGAGGUCUUAGCUUA
rnacentral:rRNA from 1 species